UGAUGACGCAUUUCCUGCCAUUCGUAGUUUCCACCAGAGGUCUCAAGGACCAAAGAUGGCUUAAAUCUUCCUUGGAUGUCUGAGCGACUCCAAACUAUUAUUUGGUGUAAUAAUCUGACAGGUUUUUUUUCAUCCUUUGCUUUAAAUCUAAUGUCUUUUUGCUUGUUUCAGGUGGAGGAGUUUCUGCGAGAAGGCCUUUCAGUAUAGGAGGCUUGCAGUUUCCACCAGAGGUCGAACGACCAAAGAUGGUUCAUUCCUUCCUUGGAUGUCUGAGCGAAAAAAAAUUUAUAUAUAUUUGACCAUUUAAGAGGUUUCUUGGUCCUAAGCUAAAUCUGCUGCGUUUGGGACAAAAUGUGUAUAAUUGAUCGGUUGUGUAGUGAAGUCCAGUCCAACGUUUGGGCUGGUCUCUCUGAUUCCUGCUCUGGUUAAUGAUGAGACCUGAGCGGCUCGGUCUAAUCCAAACAGGUCUACGUUUUUUUGAGUCGACUCUGUUGUGGAGCCAAAUACAACUCGGGGUGUCUGCAUCCCUAGGAAAAAAACUUAAGUCAUUUAAGGCCUUAAAUUGUCAUGAAUUCAUUAAGAAAUGUUGGUCAUUUUAAUCACAGGUGUUAAAUUUUAUCUUGACUGGACUAUUUAAUCUUGUAUUAUAUGUAGUUUAUUUUUCUUGCGACUUCUCAGGCAAAUGUUUAAACAUCCUUAUGUUCUGUGACUCGAGGUUGUUGAGGCUACCGCUAACUAGCUGCUAACAAAUCCUUGCUAGCUAGUGCUUUUGUGUCCAUCAUGACCAAAUGUAAAUUUAUUGCCAGUUUUGCUGAUAUCAAUUCUGUGCAAAAAAAAACAAAACUUGGCACCAUUCUGUAAAAUAAGUGCUUUAUAUAUUUUUGUUGGGUCUUAAAUUUUUAUUCAUUGUGGUCUUAAAAACGCAUAAAAGGAUUGGGACCAGUGGUUGAGGAAAAAAAACUUUAUUUUUCUCUUUGCUUGAAAUUCUGACUUUAAAUCUCAAUUAUGACUCAUAAAUUUAACUUUGUCUCAAAAAACUUUUUUUUAAGUGAGUCUAAUCCUCAUCUUGUGACGGUGCGGCGAGAGGUUGGAGAAGGAGUUAGCGGUGGCGGUUAGCCACUCUAACCCAAAACAGCAGGACGCACUUUUGAAGUAUUCCACGCUUUCAAUUUAUUUAACUUCGUCCACAUACAGCCAGAUCUCCACGGUACUAAGCAUUAUAUUUCCAUACAUGAGAAAAGUAACGUUAGUUUACCGCUCUGCACCUCRUCAUCACCUAUGUUCUCUUCUACAACAAAAUGGAAGACUAGUUCUUCUGUACAAUAGUGCAACAACAAAGGAAAUAGGCGCCCCCUUGAGGCGAUACCUACUCAUCUCUAGGAACCAAACAGCAUAAUGACUGUUACAAUCUGUAUAAAAAAGGUUUUGAAGUGUUCAGAUUGAGUUUCCCUGUCCUGAUAUAUGGACUCUGUCCACCAGUUGUCUUCUCCUGCCAGAGGAUCAGUUUGACAUGCGUCCGCUUCUCGGACUGACUUUGUAUAUUUCAGUUUAAGGGAGAGCAGAAUAGAAAUGAAUCCCUAAAAUAUCAUUUUUCUGAAGUAUUGCUAAAAAGCAGCAUUAUGAAGGAGGGCAGAUUUCCUCUUUUUGUUCAGUCCACAACAAAGAAAGCCACUAACCAGACGUUUCUUUCCUCAUCCAGGUGGUGAAAUGUUGUUAAACUGCCGGAUCGUCACCGUUGGUUACGAACCUCAUGAAUCUGAUGAUGGACCGAUUCAGUGAGGACGACGACGACAACUGCUGCUGUUCUCUGGGAUUAUUUUGUAAUUUAUUAAUAAAGUCUGAUGUAAAUGAAA